CAAUAUUUAUCUCUUACAAAAUUAUUGGCUUGUAUCUUUUUUUACUUGAAAAAAACCUAAACGAUGAAGAAGUUGUGGACGAUAGUGACGUAGACGUCGGCGACGACGAUGGCGAUAAAGACAGUGCGUUGAAGACGACGGAGAAGUAGAUGAACAGCGAUGUAGAUGACGAGAUAGAUGGCGAGAAAACCCAAACACUUCGCAUCUCUACUUCUCUGCUGCGAUGCAUUCUUUAUUUCUUGUUCAACGAGUGACGGGAGAUCUCUCUAGUGGCUCUGUACCAUCCAAAAAUAGGUAUGUUCCAUCUGCUCCAGAGGACAAAAACGAUCUUGAGAACAUAGCAAAAGAUGAGUUGCGGCACGAGAUAGCAAAAUUGAAUAUGUGUGUUUAUAGAUUGGAUCUUCGAAGUCUAUUGUCUUUUUGGCGUUGGUAAUUCACAAUUAUCCCCUGGAUGUAUCCCAUCUAACUCAACCUAUUAGACAAGGUCAUUAUAAAUGUCUAACAUGUUUUCAAUUAUGACAUAGUAAAUCUUCUCGAGCUUCCACAACCAACAUGAACUAAAUUUUCAGGAUUCUACCUAAUGAUUGCAACAAUAGUUUCUUAAUGAUUGACGUUAUUCAUUCAGUUAAAUUGUUGUUAUUCAUUAAGUUUUUAUUUGAUUGAUUUCAUCAAAAUUUUGAUGCAUCCUUAUGUAAGUACAAAAAACAUAUUCUAAAGAGAUAUAAUUUGUGUAUAUGAACAUGGAAUAACAUGUGUUAUAUUCUGUGUACACUUCCCUUGUUGACAAGCAUGUUCAUACAUGUGUACACUUAAUCCUUGUACAACUACAUUAAACCCUCCUUUGUCUCCCAACCACCUGCGACCACACCCUUGUUAACAGUGACGAAGAAGUACACAUAUUCUAUUGAUUCACUUUUGAUGUACACAUGUACAUAUUCCACGGUGUACACAAAUAUGUGAUACACAAACAACUAUAAAUAACAUACCAAAACAUCAAAAAAAAUCAGUGUUAUGCACAUUACAUUACAACAAAAUAACCAUACACACCUAAGUUUUUUACUUCAACUCAACUGGUCUCCUACAUAUCAAGGAAACACUCACUCUUUGCAAAUAUCCUUAUUUAGUGUACAUGUGUACAUCUCUUUAUUUAUUGUACACAUCUAUGCCAUUACACUUUAUCGUACACACGCACGACAAAUCUCCAAAAACCAGUGCCUACGUACACCACCAUGUAUCCACAUGGAAUAUCCAAAGACACAUUAUAGCUAAUUGAAAAUUGAUUUUGAUCUUGGUUCUUUGGAUCUAAACCUCAAGCAGGUGUUAAAGAAGAAGACUAGGAUGACAAUAGUGAUGUUGUUGAUGAUGGUGAUGAUAAGAAAAACAAUCUGGUAUGAUAGAUAUCUUAUCAACGCUGCAAGUAUUUUUUUUUGUCAUCUGCAACUUCAUGACUCGUAUAAUGUAAACUAAAUUGCUUAUAGUUGUCUUCCUCAAUUAGUUGUUUUUCAUUAUAGUUGAAGUUUUUGCAAUAAAAAUGUAUCAAAGUUAUUCAAUUUCAGUUUCCUUUUCUUUUUAGGUGCGCUUGAUUGGGAAGAAAGAUCUGGGGUGGGGAAGUCUUUGGCCCUAUGGGUUUGUACUUCCUUAAUAAUAACAUUAAAACAAUGUUUGCAUGUACACGAACAAUAUAUAAUGUGUACAUGUGUACACUAGAGAUAUAUCGUAUACAAAACAAAUUGUGUACACAUGUACACGAAUGAAACAUAGCCAAUGUAAGAAAUACAAUAUCAACAUCUAUGUUAUCAACAAGAUAACAAGAUAACCAUCUAUAACCAAGUUUCUUUCUUUAUA
rnacentral:lncRNA from 1 species